UUGCUUAAAAUUGAUUUGGCUAAGGCUUUCGAUCGACUUGAAUGGAAUUUCAUUGUUUCGGCUCUUUCGCGAAGGGGGUUGCACGGUCAUUUCAUAAAUUUGGUGUAUGCUUGCAUCUCUUCCCCAAGGUUCUUAGUCAUUAAUAAUGGCCAGCCUUUUGCGAACUUUCGUAGCAAUAGAGGUUUAAGACAGGGUUGUCCCUUAUCGCCUUAUCUAUUUGUUCUUGCUAUUAAUGAGCUUUCUUUAAGCCUGCAUGAUGCUAUGAUACAAAAUCAACUGUCUGGCAUUUCUCUUGGUCCAAACUGUCCACCUAUUCAUUCAAUGCUUUUUGCUGAUGACUUGUUGGUUUGUGGUAAUGCCACAGUUCAGGAAGCUACCCAAAUGGCUCAUCUCAUCAACCACUUCUGUUCCCAAUCAGGUUAG
rnacentral:rRNA from 1 species